GACAGCAGCAGCCGCGGGAAUACGUAGGUGGCAAGCGUUGUCCGGAAUUAUUGGGCGUAAAGGGCUCGCAGGCGGUUUCUUAAGUCUGAUGUGAAAGCCCCCGGCUCAACCGGGGAGGGUCAUUGGAAACUGGGAAACUUGAGUGCAGAAGAGGAGAGUGGAAUUCCACGUGUAGCGGUGAAAUGCGUAGAGAUGUGGAGGAACACCAGUGGCGAAGGCGACUCUCUGGUCUGUAACUGACGCUGAGGAGCGAAAGCGUGGGGAGCGAACAGGAUUAGAUACCCGUGUAGUCCCUGUCUCUUAUAC
rnacentral:rRNA from 1 species